rnacentral:misc_RNA from 1 species
GUGAAUCAUCAAAUUUUUGAACGCAAAUUGCACUCUCUGGUAUUACGGAGAGUAUGCCUGUUUGAGGGUAAGUAUAAAUAAAAAUCGGUGUGGUUGCUGCGUUUCGUGGUGACGCACCGGAUUUGGGUAGUCUUGCUUUCGGUUAAGAGACAUAAAAUUUUGCUUGAUUUUUUUCGAACGUAUUUAAAUGUUUUUAAGUACGUUUGCGAUAUCGAAUUUUCGGUG